rnacentral:rRNA from 1 species
UACGGGGGGGCAAGCGUUGUUCGGAAUUACUGGGCGUAAAGGGCUCGUAGGCGGCCAACUAAGUCAGACGUGAAAUCCCUCGGCUUAACCGGGGAACUGCAUCUGAUACUGGAUGGCUUGAGUUCGGGAGAGGGAUGCGGAAUUCCAGGUGUAGCGGUGAAAUGCGUAGAUAUCUGGAGGAACACCGGUGGCGAAGGCGGCAUCCUGGACCGACACUGACGCUGAGGCACGAAAGCGUGGGAGCAAACAGGG